rnacentral:lncRNA from 1 species
UAAAAGAGCUCACCUAAGAUAAAUAAAAGUUUUAAAAAAUUAUUAAAUAAAAUUUUUAGAGUAGAAAAAUAUAUUAUAAAAUACUCUAUAAGCAAGAAGCUUUUAAUAUAUUUUCACCCAUAAAAAGAGUAUACCGAUUAGGAGAAAGAGAGAGAAAGAGAGAGAGAGAGAGUUAUAUUGGUACCAUAAUAUUAAGUAAAUAUUGAAAAGUUAGGGGGGUCAAAACUAUUCAUGGUCCACAAAAAAAAACUUUGAAGGACCAUUAA